UCGCACAUCUUGUUGUUUGGUUGUUGUUUUUUGGCGAAAUCAUUUGAUCACAUGACAAGAUGUGCAUCUA
rfam:Vibrio parahaemolyticus RIMD 2210633 DNA, chromosome 2, complete sequence.